rnacentral:lncRNA from 1 species
AGGGCUCAGUUUUGCCUUUCAUCUUAAAGCCCAACACUCACAUAGCUUGCUGCAUAAUCUACCCAUCGCGAUGUAAGAGGACUGCCCUGGUUAUCAUUCAUCAGAAUGACCGUCCAAGGCACAGAACAUCCAACAUUAGCUAUGAAUUCAAUUGCUGCAAGAGAGGUGAGGGUGCGCUCUAAUUUAGUACCCAUAGGCCACAGCUGUCUUAAUUGCUCAAGACAUGCUU